CCCCCUCGAGGGGCUCCUCCUGGCCUGCCCUGCCCUCCGCUCGCCAACCUUUGGCCGCCCUGAGCCGUCGGGAGCCCGGCGACCGUCCCGAGCGCCUGGCAGCCCCGGCCUAGCGAGAGCAGAGCCGAAUGGGCGGGGGUGGUGGCUGUCUGAAGCAGCCCAGAUCUCGGGGUGAUAGCGUUAAUUACCGUCCUGUGGUGCCAAAGUCUGCCGGGCUCCGUGCGGAACAGAACGAAAUGACAUAUUCCCUGCCCCAAGGAGUUCACAAUCUAACGUGGAUCUGACAGCACGAGGGCGUGACACAGCACCGCGGGGUUGCAGCAGCAGAAUCGUGCUGUUGAGGUGACUCAGUUCACUUCAGAUCUGCAGAUGAGAGAAGAUGACAGCUCCUAAGCCCUCUCGGAAUAGCAGCACGGAUCUGACCACACAAGGGUGUGACAGCACUGCAAGGCUGCAGCCAUGGGGUUGCAGGAUCCAGUCCCUGGGAAACAGUAAAAAUGCUCUCAUUAGCCUAUCUGGCAAUCGAAGCACGCAGAACGCAUUUUAAACUAAACAGCCCAUUUGGAAUACGGACUGACUGGUGUUUACUAGAUGCCUCAAGUUUGCUUCUUCAUGCAUUUCCUUCACCUGGACAACCUGCCAUCUCCAGGGAGCAGGACCUAGGAUUCUGGAAGCUGUUUUAUGUGAUCUGGAGUAGUCAUCUUCAUCCUCUGCUUCCCUGCUGGCUCCAAGUGACUUUGUGACUCUGCUCCGUAGAGACUGAACCUGGCUAGCACAGAAAAACACAUGGAAAGAUUGUUUAAAGUAUCAUUUUAGAGCUCCCAUUUUCACUAAUUCAACGUCUCUUUCAGUGAUAGAAAUUGACCGCUAGUAGCUUAAAUUGACUGGUGGAUAUUAAUGGUCCAUUUCCACCUCUGUUUCUAUGGAAAUAGAUGUCAGUCUGGUGAGGGGGAAAUGAUUUUAAACAUAUACUUCAUAAAAGCUGUCAUGUACCUGAUGUCCAUUUUUCCCUAAAAUCUGACUCAGAAAGGUUUCUGGUAGCAACAACAAAGCACUGCUGACUGGUUUCAGCUGUUAGUGCAGGACUGGGCACCAAACUCAUUUUUCAAACAAAUGCAAAACAAAAUACCAAGUCCAAUGGCUUCUAGAUCAUGACUUGUCAUUGUCUUGCAUCCUGUGUAAUAAUUCACUCUGUAAAAAAGUAUGCAUAAAAUGCUGUGAAAAUAGGAUGGGAGAAGCACUACAAAAAUGAGAUAAGAUGACUUCACUCCUGCAUUAAGUAUUCUUGUAAAGAACAAGGCAGAAUGUGAAGGAAAUGUGGGGAAGAAAAAAUGGCAAAUUUUAAAUAUCUGCUAAAUGGAGCAUAGACUUUGUUGGGUACCUUGGCUCUCCAGAGAGGCUUUACAAGUAAGUAGAAGGACAUUGGCUUACAGCAAUAUUUCUUCAGUUUUUUUUU